GCAUAUCAAUAAGCGGAGGAAAAGAAACCAACAGGGAUUGCCCCAGUAACGGCGAAGUGAAGCGGCAACAGCUCAAAUUUGAAAUCUGGCCCCCAGGGUCCGAGUUGUAAUUUGUAGAGGAUGCUUUUGGCGCGGUGCCUUCCGAGUUCCCUGGAACGGGACGCCAUAGAGGGUGAGAGCCCCGUCUGGUUGGACACCUAGCCUCUGUAAAGCUCCUUCGACGAGUCGAGUAGUUUGGGAAUGCUGCUCUAAAUGGGAGGUAUAUGUCUUCUAAAGCUAAAUACCGGCCAGAGACCGAUAGCGCACAAGUAGAGUGAUCGAAAGAUGAAAAGCACUUUGAAAAGAGGGUUAAAUAGUACGUGAAAUUGUUGAAAGGGAAGCGUUUGUGACCAGACUUGGGCUCGGUUAAUCAUCCAGCGUUCUCGCUGGUGCACUUUGCCGGCCCAGGCCAGCAUCAGUUCGCGCCGGGGGACAAAGGCUUCGGGAACGUGGCUCCCUCGGGAGUGUUAUAGCCCGCUGCGUAAUACCCUGGUGCGGACUGAGGUUCGCGCUCCGCAAGGAUGCUGGCGUAAUGGUCAUCAGCGACCCGUCUUGAAACACGGACCAAGGAGUCGUCUUCGUAUGCGAGUGUUCGGGUGUCAAACCCCUACGCGUAAUGAAAGUGAACGCAGGUGAGAGCUUCGGCGCAUCAUCGACCGAUCCUGAUGUUCUCGGAUGGAUUUGAGUAAGAGCAUACGGGGCCGGACCCGAAAGAAGGUGAACUAUGCCUGUAUAGGGUGAAGCCAGAGGAAACUCUGGUGGAGGCUCGCAGCGGUUCUGACGUGCAAAUCGAUCGUCAAAUAUGGGGCAUGGGGGGCGAAAGACUAAUCGAACCUUCUAGUAGCUGGGUUUCCGCGA
rnacentral:rRNA from 1 species